CUCACGGAGAGCCACACGAGGAAAGACCCCGGUGACGUCAAACCCUGUGACAGCUGAGCUGCCGCUGACUUCCGCCUGAUCAGAAACACACAAAAAUACUCUUCUCUCGAGCUCGAGAGGUGAUCAAACAAGGAAUGGUGAAGAUGUGUCAUGCAGCUGAGGCCUGAUCACGCUCUCAUUGGCUGAUUGCUGUAGACUCCGCCCACUCCUCCUCCUCCUCCACCAAUCAGAAUGCCCGCUCACAGCUGCUGCUUUAAAAGCUCUGGCGGUUCCUCAGACUGAGUUUGAGAGACGCAAACGGAUCCUCUCAUCAGUUGGCAGUAAUACGGUGCUUGUGGUUUGAGUGGAGGCCGAGGUCUGCAGACGCUCCACCCUCCUCUUCACAGACAGAAGUGUAAUUAUUUUUACCCAAAGCUGCAGCUGUUUAUUGCGAAGUCUGGCAAGUGCAGCGCAGCGCGGGAGUCCUGCCAGGAGACGGAGGCAACUGAAAAAAUCUGCCAUUACGACUGGAAUAAAAUACACCACGAGUUGAGCUGCUGCCCAGGAACGUCCGACCAAAAGCCUUUAUGGCAGCAGAGGCUGUAUUUUCCACGAACCCAGAGCUGCCUGAUGUCAUCCAAUGUGUUUUCAAGGAGGAACACGUAGUGGAGCCUGGAACGGUGCGAUGUAGGCCACGUCCAAGGGCUUUUUCAUCAUUACCGGGUGGGGUUUGGAGCCAAAGCCAGAAGCACGGAGAGCCAGAGCUCUUGUUUUGUGUGUGUGUGUGUGUGUGUGCUGGCGUGUUGUUUUUGGCCUGAGGUCUCAAUAAAGCCUCUGUGGUCCGGCUCUUGGCCCUCAGAGGUUUUCACGGUCAGCAAACAGCGUUUCUCUCUCAGAAAUCAGGCACCUGGAUAAUGGAAACCGGAGCUCGACACCUGCUCCCCGUUUCUGCUCGGAUUCUCCGACGCUGUCAGCUGUGAAGUUGAGAAGGUGUGAAAACCACUGAAUGUGUCAGAAACUGUGUUUUUGCGAGUGUGUGUGUGUGAGAGUGAAUGUGUUUGUGACACGUUGAAUUGCAAGAAUAAAAAUGGAAGUGUGAGACGAGGUUUCUGUGUGUUCAGUAGGGGUAGCUGCUGCUGCAUCACACUUACCAACACCAGAGGAACGAGAGCUCAUAACACAGCUGCUUUACUACACAACAGAAAUCAACACUCACUGACUAUUUACUCUGGUUUCUGGUCUUUUUGUGAAUGAUUCAUCAGUACAUAUUUACAUUUAUGCAUUUGGCAGACACUUUUACGCAAAGAGACUUAAAAUCCAUUCAAGUUAUACAUUUGACCAUUCUUGCAUUCCUCGGAAAUUGAACAAUAGUAUUAUUUUAAAGAAAAAUUCAUAAUUAUUAGUAUUAA